GAUGAAGAACGCAGCGAAAUGCGAUAAGUAAUGUGAAUUGCAGAAUUCAGUGAAUCAUCGAAUCUUUGAUCGCACAUUGCGCCCGCCAGUAUUCUGGCGGGCAUGCCUGUCUGAGCGUCAUUUCAACCCUCAUGCCCCUAGGGCGUGGUGUUGGGGAUCGGCCAAAGCCCGCGAGGGACGGCCGGCCCCUAAAUCUAGUGGCGGACCCGUCGUGGCCUCCUCUGCGAAGUAGUGAUAUUCCGCAUCGGAGAGCGAUGAGCCCCUGCCGUUAAACCCCCAACUUUCCAAGGUUGACCUCAGAUCAGGUAGGAAUACCCGCUGAACUUAAGCAUAUCAAUAAGCGGAGGA
rnacentral:misc_RNA from 1 species